CCUUUCCCUUCUCCAGAGGAUCUUCCCAACCCAGGGAUCAAACCCAGGUCUCUUGCAUUGCCGGUGGAUUCUUUUCCAGCUGAGCCACCAGGGAAGCCCAAGAAUACUGGAAUGGGUAGCCUAUCCCUUCUCCAGCAGAUCUUCCUGACCCAGGAUUCAAACCGGGAGGUUCUUUACCAGCUGAGCUAUCAGGGAAGCCACACUAUUUGCCACGUUAUUGACUUGGACCUGUUUAUCAUAAUUGUUUCCUCUCCAUUGAGCUGCUCUUCAUCUGACAAGGCUUCCUUCCAUAAGCAAAAGAAUCCACUCCAGUUGAAAAUGCUCAUAAAGACUUCAACUAAUGAAUUCAGGAUAUCAAUUAGUUUUCUGAGUAGCUUUUUAAAGUUCACUCUUCACAUAAUUUUUAUACUAUGUAAGCAGUCCUUAACUCAUCUCAUCUUCUUUCACUUUUUUGAUUGUUAUUUGUUAUGCUUUAAGAUUAUGAAAAAGGACAAAUCUGUUUGCUUUAUAUUUGUGUGCCUUUAUAAAAAAACAGUAAUGACUUUAAGAAAAAGCAAUUAAAUAAGGAGAUUAACUAGAUUUGUAAUAUUUCCCCCUAAACCCAGGAUUUCCAUUGUCAAGGACUUUACUAAAGACAAAGAUUUCAAUUUGUUACAAUUUAAGUUAUUAAACAUAAAUUGGAG
ensembl:lncRNA